UCAGACGGCCGGGCGGUCGCGGCGAGGCUUGCCUCGUCGAGGAAAGUCCGGGCUCCACGGUGAAAAGGCGGCGGGUAACGCCCGCCCGGGGCGACCCGAGGGAUAGCGCCACAGAAAGCAAACCGCCUGCGUCGCGACGCAGGGAAGGGUGAAAGGGUGGGGUAAGAGCCCACCGCGGGACUGGCAACAGGACCGGCAUGGCAAGCCCCGCCUGGAGCAAGACCGAAUAGGGAUGUCGCGCGAGCUUGCUCGCAGGGUCACCGCCCGAGGCAUCCGGGUAGGUCGCGAGAACCGUCCAGCAAUGGGCGGUCCAGAGGAAUGAUCGUCACUCGUUUUCGGACGAGACAGAACCCGGCUUACAGGCCGUCUGACUUU
rnacentral:RNase_P_RNA from 1 species